ACCACUAAUACGUAUUCCAUUCUGUUAAACUAAAUGUUUAACUACUCGAAACUCUACCCCAUACACUUACAAUCGAAAUGGAUGCUUAAUCAUCACAGGAUUCAGAACUAUAAAGUAGAUGCUUAGAAUCAAGAUGCUUGUUUAAUCAAGACUAUAUGCUAACAAGGUAAUUACAGUAGAUCGGAAUAAGAGUUGGAUACGACACCAAAAGGCUUACAGAAGUGGCUUGAUUUAUCAAUUAAAUUAAAUUAAGAAUUUUCCUUUUAUGUAAUCGGGUUUAUCCCAUAUGAAAAGCUACCCUUGUAAAACAUGGGUUUUAUCCCAUCUAUUUAAUAAAUAAAAUCCGGUGUUUCUAAA